rnacentral:lncRNA from 1 species
AACCGCGUUUUUCACCCCAAAAACGUGGGGCCUCCUUUUCGGGCCUCCGCUCGCCCGGGGAGGCCACCGAGGUCUUUUUGGAGGUCCCCAAAAUUUUUUGGAGGUCCCCAAAAUUUUUUUAGGUUCCCAAAAUUUUUUGGAGGUCCCCCAAAAUUUUUUCGAGGUCCCCAAAAUUUUUUGGAGGUCCCCAAGGUCUUUAUGGAGGUCCCCGGGGUCUUUUUGGAGGUCCCCAAAAUUUUUUUGAGGUCCCUAAAUUUUUUUGGAGGUCCCCGAAAUUUUUUGGAGGCCCCAAAAUUUUUUGGAGGUCCCCAAAUUUUUUUGGAGGUCCCCCAAAUUUUUUGGAAGUCCUUGGCCUCCUUUUUGUCACCCAAAAUUUGGCCUCGACACCUUCUGGAGGCCACCAAGGAGGUCCCCAAAAUUUUUUGGAGGUCCCAAAAUUUUUUGGAGGUCCCUAAAUUUUUUGGAGGUCCCCAAAAUUUUUUGGAGGUCCUCGGCCUCCUUUUUGUCACCCAAAAUCGGCCUCGACACCUUCUGGAGGCCACCAAGGAGGUCCCCAAAAUUUUUUGGAGGUCCCCAAAAUUUUUUGGAGGUCCCUAAAUUUUUUUUGGAGGUCCCCAAAAUUUUUUUGAGGUCCCCAAGGUCUUUAUGGAGGUCCCCGGGGUCUUUUUGGAGGUCCCCAAAAUUUUUUUGGAGGUCCCAAAAUUUUUUUAGGUUCCCCAAAA